rnacentral:rRNA from 1 species
UCGGGAAUGGCGGCUAGCCUACACAUGCAAGUCGAACGGCAGCACAGGAGAGCUUGCUCUCUGGGUGGCGAGUGGCGGACGGUAGAGGAAUACAUCGGAAUCUACUCUGUCGUGGGGGAUAACGUAAGGAAACUUACGCUAAUACCGCAUAUGACCUACGGGUGAAAGUGGGGGACCGCAAGGCCUCACGCGAUUGAAUCUCUCGAUGUCGGAUUAGCUAGUUGGCGGGGUAAAGGCCCACCAAGGCGACGAUCCGUAGCUGGUCUGAGAGGAUGAUCAGCCACACUGGAACUGAGACACGGUCCAGACUCCUACGGGAGGCAGCAGUGGGGAAUAUUGGACAAUGGGCGCAAGCCUGAUCCAGCCAAACCGCGUGAGUGAAGAAGGCCCUCGGGUUGUAAAGC